AUACCUGUAAAAUGAUAAUACUUUGUUACAAACGUCAAACAGACGAUAACCGAAAAACCUCGUGCUUCCGAGGUUGGAAACGAAUAAAUCAUCGUUCACUUCUAUCUGGACCGUCAACCAGUCAGCACCUGUCUUCUCAUUUCUCUUUAACUGGCGACGAGGAAAAAACCUUUUUACAGUUAUACAGUGUGUGAACAGUGAAACCUUCAAAAGUAAAACCCAAAUCUUGUGCAGUGGGACGGAUACGUUUUUUUUCGGCUACAACGGCAACAGAUAAACGGUUUUGCAGUGCAAAAGUUUUGGUUACGACGACAAGUGCCUAGUGAAGCAAGUACGGUUGCUAUCGAUAAAAAAAAACGGACUGCAUUUUGGCGCGUAUGGUGUGUGCGGAAUUUUCUCCCACAACGAAGGCCACGAAACAGCACGCCGGGAGCAGCCUACAACCACGGGAAAAGGCAUACGGCGAAGCUUUGCAGAUAGCGUUCGAGCAUUUUUUUUCUUCCUACGAGUCGCAGCCAGCGGCGGCAUUUAAAACGUCGGAAAACGAGGACGGUGGUAAUAAACUAUCCGCCUAAUUGGCCGCUACAAACGCCGGAAAAUCCAGACGAAGGUGGCGAAUUUCGUUAUCACCAUUAAUUUGCGGAGGAAAACAGUAAUUUCGUCGAAAGGUCGGUAUUCGCAGAUCUCAGGAAGUGUUUGUGCCACCUAGGAAGGUUUUAAAGUAGUUCGAAUAGUACGGCUUCGGGUCGUUUUCCGGAAGACCACAUAGGGUAACUGCGACAAUUGUCGACACGGGCAAAGGCCUUAGGCGAGAGCCAAUCGUUUCUGUACGGAUAGCAAUUGGAAGCGCUCUCACCAUGGCCCACCGAAGUCAGCUUAGGUGCUACAAGGGCAAACUCCGCAGCCGAGACAAAACGUGUGGCUGGGAGUCGGUACAGGUAGUAGAGAUGCUACGGUCG